UACGUAGGGGGCGAGCGUUGUCCGGAUUUAUUGGGCGUAAAGAGCUCGUAGGCGGUUCAACAAGUCGGUCGUGAAAGUUCAGGGCUCAACCCUGAAAUGUCGAUCGAUACUGUUGUGACUAGGAUACGGUAGAGGUGAGUGGAAUUCCGAGUGUAGCGGUGAAAUGCGUAGAUAUUCGGAGGAACACCAAUUGCGAAGGCAGCUCACUGGGCCGCUAUCGACGCUGAGGAGCGAAAGCUAGGGGAGCAAACAGGAUUAGAUACCCUGGUAGUCCUAGCUGUAAACGAUGGAUACUAGACGUAGGAACUGGAUUGACGGUUUCUGUGUCGUAGCUAACGCGUUAAGUAUCCCGCCUGGGGAGUACGGUCGCAAGACUAAAACUCAAAGGAAUUGACGGGACCCCGCACAAGCGGCGGAGCAUGCGGCUUAAUUCGAUGAUACCCGUAGAACCUUACCUGGACUUGACAUAUAGGGUCUAGCUAUAGAGAUAUAGUGUGCAUUAGCGCCCUAUACAGGUGGUGCAUGGCUGUCGUCAGCUCGUGUCGUGAGAUGUUGGGUUAAGUCCCGCAUCGAGCGCAACCCCUAUCCUAUGUUGCCAGCAUUUAGUUGGGGACUCAUAGGAGACUGCCGGUGAUAAACCGGAGGAAGGUGGGGACGACGUCAAGUCAUCAUGCCCCUUAUGUCCAGGGCUGCACGCAUGCUACAAUGGCAAGUACAACGAGUCGCAAUACCGCGAGGUGGAGCAAAUCUCUUAAAGCUUGUCUCAGUUCGGAUAGGAGUCUGCAACUCGACUCCUUGAAGUUGGAGUCGCUAGUAAUCGCAAAUCAGCAAAGUUGCGGUGAAUACGUUCUCGGGGUU
rnacentral:rRNA from 1 species